CUACUGACUGGGUCUGAUUUCCAGCUCCCUUCCCAUUUAUCCAGCUCAUCUGCGGUAUUCUUCGUACUAAAGUUGAAAUCUGAUCACUGAUUUAUGCAGUAGUGAUGUUAUUACAAUCGCCACUAUUCAAACGUUUCCAAGUGUCUGGGUGGGAGGAGGCAAGACUCUGAAGAGUCUGUGCUACUCUUUGAUCUGAGAGAAAUUAUCUGAUCCCAAAACACAAGAGCCUGGAGCAGUCUUCAGUAUACCUUGAAAAUCAGAGCAAGAGACCAUCCAUUUGCUUCUGGUUUGUGAAGCUUUCCUCAACUCUGAGGUCAAAAGACAGGAAUUUGAAAAGCUGCUCAAACACUGGAAAAUCUCAGAAGUCUUUUCAAGUUCAAAGAAAUCAUAAGUGUCUGUGCUUCCUGUUUUCCUCAGAGAAAUAUCAAUCUGCGAAGAGUACGGUGAACACUAAAAUGGCCAGAAAAUUCUAGAACGAAAGUAUUUAUAAAUGAAAUUUAAGCCGUGAUGCAAGGAAAACAUUCAGGCAAAACAAGCAAAGGUCUGCUCAAAAUUCACAAGUAUUCCAUCAAGAACACACAGAACAGCUUCUAUACCAUUUAAUAUUUAUUGACUUUUUUUCUGAAGUUUGAAAGAGACUAAUGUGACAUGAGGUGCAUUUGAGAAUUUCAAGCUGGGAAUAUUGGCAUUACCAACACUGACAUAAUUUUUGACAGUAAAUUGCCGUAAAGGGUGCUCAAGC